rnacentral:rRNA from 1 species
UUUUAUGGAGAGUUUGAUCCUGGCUCAGGAUGAACGCUGGCGGCGUGCCUAAUACAUGCAAGUCGAGCGAACGGACGAGAAGUUUGCUUCUCUGAUGUUAGCGGCGGACGGGUGAGUAACACGUGGAUAACCUACCUAUAAGACUGGGAUAACUUCGGGAAACCGGAGCUAAUACCGGAUAAUAUUUUGAACCGCAUGGUUCAAAAGUGAAAGACGGUCUUGCUGUCACUUAUAGAUGGAUCCGCGCUGCAUUAGCUAGUUGGUAAGGUAACGGCUUACCAAGGCAACGAUGCAUAGCCGACCUGAGAGGGUGAUCGGCCACACUGGAACUGAGACACGGUCCAGACUCCUACGGGAGGCAGCAGUAGGGAAUCUUCCGCAAUGGGCGAAAGCCUGACGGAGCAACGCCGCGUGAGUGAUGAAGGUCUUCGGAUCGUAAAACUCUGUUAUUAGGGAAGAACAUAUGUGUAAGUAACUGUGCACAUCUUGACG